GGAUUGCUCAUGUGGUUAGAGCACGGUGCUGAUAACACCAGGGUUGCAGGUUCAAUUCCCGUAUGGGACA